AAACAUUUUUGGAAUUCAUUUAUUUCUCUCACGGUUGGGUUGCUUUGGUUUAGGUGCCCAUGUCUUCAACCCUUUCCUUGUCAUUGACCGAGGACUUUUUGGCCAACGGCAAUUGACAGCAACCGACUGAAACCCACGGCAAGAAUAUUUAGGUGUUUUGGCGACCCACUGUUCGACGACAGCGUUUCAGGUUUUGGGUUUCGGCAAAAGCGUGAGUUUCGGUCAACAACAUUUUUGGCAGACAGUGACCCACGAUCGGCAUCCUCACUCCUUCUCAUCGACGGUGACCCACGGUUGACGGCGACUCAAAGAGAAAGGAGCAGAAGAUAUUCUUUGGAUUACAAAGUGUUUGAGCUAUUUAUUUGGAUUCUGCAAUGAACUUCCUUGAAGAUUUAUUGUAACUCAAGAUUCUUAUGAGCCCAACUCCACCAGUUGAAGUGUAAUUUGACAAUCUACCCCACAUUUCACACAAAUCCUUUAAGAAAAUUGGGUUAUUGUUGCAAAUGAGAUUCAAACAUUUGCCUUUAGAAGCAAAACAUUUGACUAAAUGAAGACACCAACAUUGAAGUUGACUAGCCCAUUCCUCUGCUUUUUAUAUCCUCAAUUUCUCUCCCACCAACUCCUCUUUAAUGUAGAAAAAUGAAUAUGAAUAUGUAAAUGGGCCUUUAUCGUCGUGCCCAUCCAACUUCAGUAAACAAUUCAUGCAAUGGUCGUUUACCCCAAUAAAAAAUUAUUGCAAUGGACUGCUUCUUAUUUUCAAAAUUGAAAAUAGGCUUCGAUACAAUCCACUUCUUUUGGUUCAAUAAUACCAAAGAUAAAGAAUAGAAUUCUGAACAAAAGUAAGUGCUUGAUUCGUUCUAAAUUUUAACAUAGGAUUGAACUUGUUUACUUAUGAAUUUUUUUUAAAAAAAGUCUAACUGUUAGAGACUUGUAAGCUGUGAUUUGUUAAGACAAAGAAGGCCUUUCAUUAAACUGUUAGAGACUUGUAAGUUAUCGUCUUCUUCGCUUGUGAUGCUUUCAUCACAUCAUUUUAAUUUCUUGAUUUUAAGUCAAGACACACAAUUACUUGUCUUUGCAAUCUAAUUAACUUUCGUCAAAGGAUCAUUACUCAAGGUUUUUAAAUAUUUUUUUUUGCACUUAAUUAGAAAUAAUAGUUUAGACUCAAGUGGCAUGGAAACAAGGUAAGUCUUCUACUUAUCUUUAGCUUAAGUUCUGUAUGUAUGUAUGUGUGUAUAUAUAUAUUUGCUUUCAAAUUCCAUGUAAUCAUGUAUUCUAUAACUCCUUGGUAUGUUCUACUGUUGGACCCAAUUUGGUCCUUGUUCUAUGAUAAGAUUUUGAGUCUACAUGCAUUCCUCAACCUGUAACAUAUAUUUCAUAUUCUUUUCUAUGAUGAUCUUUCUACUUCCUACUUUUCUUUAUUGACGUUAUCUGGUGCUUGCUUCAGUUCUACUGUGGUGGUUGGUUGGUUAGCCUUUGUAUUUAGAUUCUACUUUUUUGGCACUUUUUAUUCUUUUAAUUUUUUGUUUGGGUUCCUCUACUCUUGCUUCUUUUUCUCUGUCUCCAUAUAUAACUCGGGGAGGGUUUAGGAUAUUUACUUACAUAACAUAAGUGUUCCCUAAGUUUAGACCUUCUUAUGUGAAUAUAUGUUGAGCUUGUAAUACUUAUGGUUUUUUAUUACAGUUAAAUAAUAGGGUUUAUAACAUUGUCUCUCUUUUUCAACUUAUUUUUUUUAGUUAUUUUAACUUUCAUACUUGUAUAUGAUUACUGGGGUUUGUUAGUGGCACCAACAAACUUGAGCUAUGUGAUGUCUCCUAAUUUUUUAAGGAAGUUUAGCUUUGAUCUCACUAUAUGGUAUUUAAUUUAUUUCUGUUAUUGAUGAUCUUUUAGUGGAAAAACUUUUGUCUCACGUCUAAAGAUAUAUUUACUAUAGAGGUUGGUUUUUAUUUUAUGUUUCAUAAAACUUUUGAGUCAUUGAUUGGUACCCGUUCUCAUGAAAGAUUGUCUUUUACUAUAUCAUGUUCUUCAAAGGAUUGGCGCUAUGUAAAUGUAAAUCCUAAAUUUGAGUACCCAUAAUUCUUUAUUUUAUUAUUAUGAGAAUAGGGUAGCUAAUACUUGUGACUUGUUUAGAUAGUGUUUUUUGUUCGAGCUCCUGUACUUGUUAUUUUCUGAUAUGGUGGAUCACUCUUAUUUGUAUGUCUAUUGUUUAGGGUGGAUUACAAGGAAGCUAUUUUUUGUGGCAUAUACAACAUAAAGAUUUUCUUAUUUUGGGUGAUAACUGUCAUUGCUAUUUUGUUCCCGAGUAUUGAGAUUGGUGUCUUAAUUGGGGUACAUAUUUAUAAUCUGAUCUGAACAAUAGUUCUAUUUACAUAAUUAUUUACUGACUUUUUGUGUGCUCUAAUUUAUUGUGGAAAUUGUUCUAUCUUACCUUUUGACUCUAACAGAUUCAUGGUUUUGACCUAUUUAAUGUUGUUUGACUCGUCCAUGGUCUAUUUUGUAAGAGUAUCUUAUAAAGAAUAUGGUUUAAUGUGAAGUUUAUAUUGCAAGUGGGUCUUUCACUAGCCUUUGUCAUUCACGAAUCUGCAAAUCCACACAUGGGUAACUGGUACAUUUCUAAUGCUUAUAUGAUAUAAUAUAAAAUUAAGAUUAUAUAAAAUAUAAUAUGAUUUAAAUUUAUAUUAGAUUUAUAUUAAUAUGAAUUUAAAUAAACAUAAUAACUCCCACGUGACCGAGAGGGAGGAAGUUAUUUUAUAACUUCCACUUUCAUCUCUCUUCAUAUCCUUUGGUUAAGACAUAGAAGGGAGGGGAUGCAAUCUUUUCAUGUGAGAAUUUUGACGAUCUAUUGGUAUCAAAAAGAAAAAAUCUCUGCAAAUGUUUUUUUUAUCUUGAGGAUAACAAGGAAGACUUCAUGGUAUUCUCCUCUGUGUUCUUUGGGAGGUUCGAGAAUUCUUGGGAGGUUCUACAAAGAUUAGUUUUCUUUUAUUCUUUUCCUCCAUAGAAGCAUGUUUAGGUAUUUUCUCUGUGUUUCAAGUUAAAUUUAUGUUGCAUAGCGUUCACACGCUUCCACUUUGGAAAUUUCAUUCAUUCAGUUCUCACCCACGAACUCCUUAAAUGCAAGAUAGGAUGUCAUGGCUUGCACGUCGCACAAGUUUACAUAACCAUCCAACUUUUCAUCCUUUAUAUACUUGGCUUCUAUGUCUAACUUCCUUUCUUACUUGACUUCAGCGCCUGACAACCUAGGGAGAGGAAAACUUAAAACGUAAGUCUUAAUGAGUGAGGGGUUUAGGAAAUAUCCUUUCGAAGAAUAAAAGAGGUUAACAACAAACUUAAACCUAUGAACACAAGUAUUUCACUGCAUCAACACAAAUUCUCAACGUAAACACAAACACAAUUGGCACAACAAUGCCACGCAUUUGUUAUCAAACAUUCACCAUUAUUCACGCUGGAACCUGGGAUUCUCUCAUCCACAUCUAAUCGCCUAGAGCUUCACUUCACUAGCAUUUACUCGUCUAGACCUAGGACUCACUUUAUCAGUGUCAUGCGUUAAACGUGGGAUUUCCACCAACAUCAUCCAAUAGACUCGAGAUUUCCACUAGUGUCUCGUAACAAUCUCAAUCUUAGACAUGAGAUUCGCUUUCACCAGCAUCUCAUCAUCUAGACCUAGGAUUCACUUCACCAGCAUCACGCGAUAAACGUGCGACUCAUUUUCACCAGCAUCUCACAAUUCAAUCAUCGCCUAGAUCUGGGAUUCAUACUCACCAACAUCUAGCAUCAGUAACACACCUUAUUCUAGCUUAGACCUGAGCACUUCCACCAACAUUUACUUGCUUAGACCUUAGAUUCAAUUCCAUUAAUGUCUCACAUUAAAUCUGAGAUUUCUACCGGCAUAUUACGAUAGAUCAAUCACCAGUACUCAUCACAGAAGAACACUAUCAUCAAAGAUAGAUUAGCUCAACAAAUCAUAUUCAACAGAUAAUACAACAAUCAUCAAAGAAAGGAUCACAAAGAAAGCUUUUCAUUCAAAUAUUCAUAAAAUAAUUUCCUCAUUUGAAAAGAUCAUAAAUUACAACACUUUAUUAAUAAACAUCGUUUAUUCAUUUAGAAGAUCAUUUAUGAAAUCAUUCACAAAUAAACAAUCAUUUAUAAGGACCACUUCACAAUUAAACAUUCAUUUAUAAGGAUCACUCACAAAUAAACAUUCAUUUAUAAGGAUCACUCACAACAACACUUAGCCUCAACUCUUCCUUCCUUUGGCUUUCGACUUCCUCUUCUUGUCGAGUGGUUUCUCUCAACCAGCCUUUGGACACUCCAAAAUCUCUUCUUACAACUUAGCAAAAUGUUUAGCACUUUUUCUGUCCUUUUCUUCCAGUCUUUGGUCCUAUUUAUAGCGACUUUUCACAUCCAAGGGUCACUUCCCUACUUUACACGUAUCACCUUUUCAUUUCCUCGCGCUAUGCAACCAACCCAAACUAGACACAUAAGUGAAACGUCAGUUACGAAUAGACAGUUUUCAUGAGACGCCAGCCUUUUCUCCUUGGAAAGCUAAACUUCUUUAAUUUGUCUAACUCUCUUCUUGGAAAACAACAAAGAGUUACUUUUCCCUAAAGGCUUGUCAAGUCACCUCAACCGAACACCUAGCUCAUUAUCACACUCUUAGGCAUAUGUACCUUAUUUCCUCAUUACUACUCCAAACGCUUAGUACUUAGCAUUAAACGCAAGUUUCUUCAUCGUCAGCAACCUCAACACGUUACAUACUUCCACAUGAUGGCUCUUAGACUUGAAACUCCUCAUCGCAUCACCCUUCUCCAAUCGCAUCCCUCUUCGCAUAAUGCCUCAUUAAUCGAAAAUAGUCUCUCUCAAUGAAGUUUCUCUUCAACAAGACUUCCUUUUGGGUCAAAGCCCCACAUACCAUUUUAGUUAAAAAAGAGUCUAUCUUCAAAUUUUGAAUUUUUCAUAUAUACAUUUUAAUUAAGAAAAUAGGUAAAUCUAAAAUUUUAAGAAAAUAGAUAAAUGGUAAAUGAUGCCUCCCUACUCCUUAUUUUAAACCUAUAUUUUAGUACAAACUCUUUAUUUUUGGACUUAUAUUCUAGCUAGUACAACUCCCUAAUUUUAGACCUAGCAGUUUGCCUCCCACUAUCAACGUCUUGAUUUAAUUUUCUCCCUCCCUACCUCUUUUCAUCCAUUCAAUUUAUCUCAACACCAAAAUAUUUUCAAAUACACCUUAUACUUUCAUAUAAGUUUACCAAAUUCUUGUUUACAACUUUGUAUUAUUAAUUUUAUUUUCUUAAUUCAAUUUAUGUUACUUAAUGAUAGUGAUCUUGAUUCUUUUUUUUUUUUUAUUUUUUAAUUAUUAGAGUUUCUAAUUUCCUUUGUUAUAGUUGAUAUGAUGUAUCUAGGUUUUGUUGAUCUACAACUAGAAUUUACUUUCUUCUUAGAUCUCCACCUAAGUGCGCGUUCCUACAAAUUUUUUAUUCAAGCAACUCCUUUGGUUUCACACCAUAUUUCUUUAAUACAUUUUUACCACUUCUUUUCAUAAAACUAUUCUCACAAAGGACCCGAGAGCAUGUAAUUUAAUUCAUAAAGCUAUAUAAUCCUUUUAUCUUCAUUCUCCCUUUUUUCAUAAUUAUGUUAUAUAAAGUAUAAAAUAUACUGUUAUUAUACAUAACAAUGCAAUGUCUUCCUUUCUUCUUCCAGUUUGAGUUGUAAGUGCCUUAGAGGUUAAUUGAAACUUGCUACUACCACACUCAUGUAUACUCAUCCAGAUAUAUAGGGUCAAGUUCGAAUGAUCAGUUAUUUAACAUGUUUAAAACUUGAACACUUAUUGAUGUUUAAGUGAUUUUGAUUACAAGUUAUUUCUAUUUUCUUAGUGAUGUUGGACAAAUUUUGUACCAAGUUGCUCAUACAUUUUGAUUUUAUUAAAUGAUAUAAUAUUUGUGA